AGUCUCUCCCUCUCCCACUCAAUUCCCCAUUCCCCCACCGCGUUUCCACCAACCACCAGGGACGGCGAGGGCAAGCUCCGGAGUGGGUGACCACGGCCAGGUGCCAGACGAGCUCCGCGACGGGGCGUCGCGGGCAAGCUCCUCGAGGGGCUGCGAGGGCGAGCUCGGCCAUGGCACGGAGCGGGCGAGCCAGCUAGGGGCGGCGCGGGAGAGAUCCUCCAGGGGCGGCACGGGCGAGGUAUGCCAUAGCCGGCGCGGGCGACCACGGCGAGAUGCUGGCGCCGACGAGCUCCGCGAUGGGGCGGCGCGGGCGAGCUCCUCGAGGGGCGGCGAAGGCGAGCUCGGCCAUGGCGCGGCUGGGCAAGCUCUAGCCGAGGGCGGCCGCGGGCGUGAGCAAGUACGAACAGUUCCCUCCGGCGAAAUUUCCCAUCCAGCCAUGGUGUAUGCGCGUGCAUUGUGUUCAGGUUUUAUGGAUUGGGAAGUGUCUGAAGGUUUAGUUAUUGAAUCCAUUAACAGUUUUGCUUCAUAGCUCUGCAGCCUCUUCAUUGAAAUAACAUAGGUGUUGGUGGAAGGCACUUCAGUUGUAGGAGGCGGGGUUGCACUCUAAGUCAUACAAAAUGGCUAGUAAUAAAGUUCAAAAAGGUCGACGCCUCUGCUUAGAUGCUAGAGGGGCCUAUACUGGUGAGUUUCCAUAUUUUAGCUUUAUUUUAAUGUUGCUUGCCUUCCUUCACUGUUGAGCCCCACGAUGAACAUUGGAUAUUUAAACCUGAUUUGAUAGUUUAGUUUGGCCGUGGGGAUCCAACUGUAUACCCGGAUGUUUGGUACCAUAAUGGACUUUGUUACUGAGAUAUAA